AAAUGUGUGUACUAUCAAAUAAAAACUAAAUUUAUAGAAAGAACAUUCAUACACAUUUGACCAGAUGUUCGAAUAGCCUCUAAUAAAGUUACUUUUUAAAAAAUACUUAGCUAACUUUUAAAAAUAUAGCAGGUGCUGAAAACCAUUCCCAUGGAUCGAGUGAACAUCAACGUGAUUGGUGUGCAGUGGCAUGAAACCCGUGCAGACUAACUAUGACUUGGCUAAUAAAACUAGUCAAAUGUCUCUUCUAUGACCUUCGGGAAUAACGACACUCAAAAGUAACGCCCUUUUUGGGUAAUUGUACAAAAUUAUGCCCAAAAAAUAUUUAAUUUAUUUA